rnacentral:sRNA from 1 species
CUCACUUUCCCCUGUGUGGGAAACUUCCUUGGAGGCAGCUCUUAUUAAUAACAACUAUCUGUCUCUCCUGGAGGGUUGCUGGGAAGCUGGCCUUCUGCUGUGAGCUUCCUAUUUACAUCCUGGUAUGACUGUGAUACGAACCCAGAAGGAAGAGACCCUUACUGCCGCCAUGUGACUAGAAAAGGGAGUCAAGGCCAAAGAUGCACCCCAAGUGCCCCCGAUCUGCCUUCUAAGGCCUUUAUCCUUAUCUUCUGGGACACAGAGUAGGUGUGGCACGUGGGUGGGGCGUUACGGCAUUCAUUUGUCAGGGAUGAUAACUUGCAGGGGCCAUGUCUAGAUGCUUCUGGAAAGGGGAAAGCGAAUAUACUGGCACCCUGGCCCUUCAGCAGGGCCCGCCUGACUCACUGACCGCACUGGACAGAUGACUCAUUCGCCAGCCUUGACCUCAAUGGGUUUGGCCACCCAUGGAGAGUGAAGUCACACCUCCAGUGCCCUGAAGCAUUCUUCUCAGCCAACUCCAAGGCAGUAAUAUCUUCAUGAUCUGAAGCUCUGUAGGCCAAAGGGCAAAAGGAAGGAAUGUUUCUAACUUGGAGGUAAAAACUACAAAAGUUUCUCAGGCAAAGAGUCUGCGAAUGAAGAAAGUUUAAAAAGCCCUUUGAUAGAGCGAGGCUGGAAGCUGGUGCUGGAGGAGACCCAUGCCAGCUUCUAUCCAAACGUUCCUGCCCUGGAUUGUAAAAAACUGCUGUGGCUUCUCGAGAAUCACCAUCCUCAGGAGAGAGACAAUUGAGCACCUGCUACCCACCAGAGACAGACAUCUGUGUCACCGAAUGCCACCGCCUCCCAGCCGUUACCAGACUGUUCCAUUGACCCUUGGUGGCCACCUGGUGUGAUGACCUCACUCUCCCGAUCAGUGGUUGAUGUGACCCAGGACACAGUCCCUGACGCUAAGUAGGGAUCCAAGUUACUAAGCCUGGUGAGGGACCUGGUCUUCAUCAGCAGGCUCCGAGGCCCAUUUUACAUGACAGCACUGGGUCCCGGCUGAGACAAAGAAGCUGGCUCAUUUAACUGUGUAAGGCAGCUAUGAGAAGCAGAAGGGGGAAAGGGGCAUCUUGGGGCUCAGCAUUCCUGAGGCCAGAUGUGCAAGCCUCCUGAGACCAGCUUGGCCCCAGUUGGGCUACACUCACUGCCUCAGACACUGCUGUCCCCUGUCCCUCCUCCCUCCUUCCUCAGCAUCAAAAAGACUCAGGGGUGCUGGCAGCUGUUCUCCAGCAUCUGGUGGAACAUUCUGCCCUAAAGCUGGGCUUUCCUCCCUCCCCAAGGAGAGCUGGUGACUCAUGUUUCCAUUUUCGAUGCAGAGCCAGGCACUGGAUCUUUCCAUGACCCCAACCAAGGACUGGCGGUGUAGUGCUGGAACAUGAAUUAUGAUGUCAGACCUAUCUGAGUUCAAAUCCCCUCCUUGAUGUCUGUUAGCAAUCUGUGUGAUUUUAAGCAGCCUGUUUACUCUGAUUCCCAUUUGCACAUGAAGACCACAACUGUCAAUCACGGUAUCAUUUUGUUUUAGACAAGGUCUCCACUAUGUAGCCUGAGUAAGCUUCCAGUUCUCUCUGUGUGUAUGGUGUGUGCCUGUACACAGGUAUAUGGGAGAGGGGCAUGUACCAUGAGCACACAUGUGAAGGCCAGAGGACAGCCAAUGUCUCUAUCAAUCUCUGACUUAACCCCUUGAGACACCGUCUGUCAUCAACACUGUCACCAUACUUGGACUAGGUUAGUUGGCUUGUCAACAAGCACCAUCAAUCCUUUGUCACCACGAGUCCCCUCCCCCACUGGGGUUAUACGUGCAUUGUACAAAUGCCUACAAAAGCCCCUGGGGCUUUUAUGUAGGUACUGGGAUCUGAACUCAGGUGCAUACUUGUGCACCCACUUGUCCGUCCAUCUCUCCAGCAGUUUCCAGUGCAAUCCUCCUGCCUCAGCCUCCCUGGCGCUGAGUUCAUAGGCGUGUGCACUGCACCAACCUCUCCUCUAUCGCAACUCUGAGAAUGAGCUGUUUCUUCCAACAGUUUUCUCUUUUGACGACUUCUCAUAAUUCAAGCAAAGAGGAAGUUGAGAGUUUCAUGGCCGCCAUGAACGUUCCCUACCCUGUCACAGAGAGUCAGCUUGGUGGUAUUUUUACCCAUGUGAGCUUUUCAGCAGGUUUAAAGAGGCGGGGCUGAGCUGUGAUGCUCCACAGGUCAAGGGUUAUCAAGUGCAUUUUGACUUAAUAUUUUCUAUUACAUUGUAAAUAGAAUACCCAUGUACCAUUUACUACUGCUACAGUGCUAUUGUGAGCACAACUUGUUCUAAACAUAGGAAACCAAGGCCCAGGCAAGUAAAGUAACUUCUCUGAAGUCACACAGCCAGGAAGUGGCAGAGCUGGGUCAUGGCUGGUCUGUCUGACCUCACAGGCCAACACUAUUCUGAUGCUUAGGACAAUGAGAAAGAUGGAGGAGUGAAGUUGGUCCUGAUGCUGGCCUGGAGUGGAUGCUGUGUUGGAGUUUGCUGCUGUUAUUGCUGCUGUCUUCUCAGUUGUUUCUUGUUAUCAUGCUAGGUCUCCACUUUGCCCAUGAUAAGGAGCCAGUGAGGACACAUGUCCUUCAGGCCAAAGCCACAACAGUUGAGAGAUCUGGGCAGGAGAGUCAAGUGGUUUACCCUAACUGCAUUGCUCUCUACCUGCUGAAUGAAUGCUAUUUUCUGAGGCCUGGGGGUACUGACUUUCCAUCUCUGGGCCUUAAUUACAUGUCUACCAGGAGGAGUGCUCAGACUCAGCCCUAAGGUGGAAACAGGCAGGGAGGGGCUGGGAAGAUCAAGGCCUGGGAAACAUUAUCACCCUGACUGACUGCUCUUUUCAAAAGCAAAGAGCCUGCUCUGGGCCCUAGCCCCAGAAGCCAAUAACUGCUACAGCAGAAGCACACGUGAGACCAAGCCAGACUGGAAGGUUCCAGGGGCACCAUGUAGAGUUAUCGGGAAUUACAAACAGCGUGCAGACAAAGCAAUAUGGACAGGUGCAAGAUACUAAAGCUGGCUGGGGCGGCUCACACCAGGAAUCCUAGCAACCGGGAGGCUGAAGCAGAAGUGUCAUUGAAAACAUGAGGCCAGCCUGGGCUACAGAGUGACUCUGUCAACAAAACAAAACAAAACAAAACAAAACAAAACAAAACAAAGCACUCAGAAAAGCAGAAGUCAGAGCUAAGGCACUAAAGAGAGCUGUGACCACAGCAGUGUCCCCACAUGCAACCCACAGCUGGCUUCCUGUCACUCUGCUCCAGACCUUUUCACCUCACCUAGCUCUGCAGUCCCUCCUGCUCCAACACUUGCCCUUGCCCUGCUCUUGUGGAUGAGCUAGCCUCGCCCAUGUUCAGACCACUGUGCUCUUCCCAGCCUGUUUUCCCAGAGACUCUGACCUUCCUGUCCUCAGGGAGCUCAGAAGCCUGCCUCGCAGAAGAGGGAGAGGGAGAGCAGUGCUCACAUUCGCCAAGGUGUCCCUAUGGGCACACAUUAAAUGUUUAGAGAGCCCUUUGUGUGAAGGCUCUGCCACUUGGGCCCAGAAAGAUGUCAUAAGGGGUCCUGCUCUUCUGGAGCAGUGAGGAAUUUCUGAGUUGAUUCUGAGAAUUCCCUUGCUGGGCUUGGGUCCUCCAGGCCACGCCAGGGACCACUCCACCCAGUGUGCAAUGGAUGUGGCUGUUGCCGAGCACUUCAGAGAGUGGGAGACAAAGCUUCAAGCAACUGUAGAGAAAGGAGAGAAAGGCCCCCAGCCAGGAGUCAGUGUCUGUAGGAUUGAAUCUACUUCCAGAUACAGUGCAGGAGUUGAUGGCAUGGGAGUUACAGUCUAUGGGGUCUCAGCUGAUGCCACAACCCACCUAGUGGCCGUAGGGUCUGCAAAUAGCCACCUUCCAGGUUCUGGUGUUGGAACCUGGGGGCCAGGCUCAACUUCUGAUCCCGACCUCUACUUCUGUGUGACAUUGGCUAGGCUCAGUGUGACAGUCUGUAAAGUGGACAUAAUACUGUCUUCCUAGAGUUCUGGUGUGAACAAACCGAAAUGACUCCAGGGCUGCAUGGCCAUCUGUAUCCUUCAGUCUGUGGUGACAACAGAAUAAACGUUAGGGGGAUGGAGGCGGGUCCCAGGGUGCUGUCGCUGUGGAUGACCCAGAGGGAAGCUGGUGAGGGAAGCUGGCGAUGGGGCUCAGCCUUGAAGGAGAUUGAGUUGCUAUACAAGGAAAUGCAAAAAACGUGAAUCAGUUCAAAAGUAAAAAAAAAAAAGUGAAUGAUUCAGAAGGCAUUCCAGAAUAACAAAUAGAGAUUCCAAGCCAAGUGACUCGGUUCCUCAAAAAGAGGACACAGCUCGGUGAAGCUAGAGCCUUAGUCAGGCGGGGGAGGUGGUUACUGGGAAACUUCACCCUGUUCAGCAUUAUUGAGAAGUUGUGGGUUCCUGGAGCCUUAGUGAUGUUACACAGCCUUGCAGGGUGAAGAUUACCCAAACCCUGGGCCAGAGAGUUGAAAAGGAAGUGUUUAGGGCAGGAUCUAUAUUAGAAGAAACAAACAGAAAAAAAAUGCUCCUUAGAAGACAGAGUGGCCACAAGGGAAAGUGGUCAGAUGUGUUGGAGCAUAUGGGGCAGCCGCGCGGGCCAGCCAACAUCUGCCCCAGGGAGGGAGGACUUGGCACAUCUGGGAAGCAGUGAUGGGUUACUCCCAAGGUCUGGAUCUGAUGCAGUCUUUCUGUCCAUUUUGGAAAAAUUCCUCCCAUUUUUUUCCCCACAUGGUGCAGACAUUCCCGUAGAGCAAGGGAGAGGGAGGCUGUACCCAAACUCUGCCACCUGCUUGCUGUGUGACCACCUGCUUCUCUGUGCCUUUGUCUAUCAUCAACAAAUGGUCACCAUGGUAUCUACUUUGUCAUUAUUGCAGUCGAUGUUAGUCCCAGUGCCUGGUCCCUCUGACGACUUCCUGUUGACCAUUAUUAUAGACUUUAGAAUCAAGUAAUUGAAUGCCCCAUUUGGUGCCCUCCCAGUAGAUAUUACAUCACAACAUCUCCACUUAUGUAUAACACUGUGACAAGCCAGUGUUCUUAGAAAAGACAGAAAAAGCCACAAACACACAAAAUCUCAAAAUACGGGACGAGGGAAGUCCCCCUCUACAAUGACUCUUCUGUAUACCAUGUAUGAAUGUGACCCCUACUACCACCUUACCAAGAUCUGGACUUAGCCAGAUAAGCUAUCUGGGGCUUUUCGGGGAACCAGGACUCUGAGAGGUGCCACCACCCAAGAACAGCUCUGGUUCAUUGUUUCAGGCAAGCUGGGGAGGCCUGGAAACUAGAGGUGGGUUUGAGGGAAGGACAUAUGAAGUUGAGGAAGUAGAUGUGAGGCUGGGGAGUGGCUGCUGCCUCUCUGAGGGACUGAAAUGCAAUCUUUCUGCCCAAGGCAUCAAGUCAUAGCUCAGUCUGGCCCUCUUGUUAUCUUUGACAGGCAAUUCCUCGAUUAUCCAUGAAUUUUCUCCUCUUUCCCCAGCUGUGAACAGACUUCCAGAAAGAAGGCAAGUUCAAGGUCAGAGAAAGGGGAGAUUUGAGCUUCAAACAGAGGCUGGUGUGGCCCCAGCUUUGAGUUCACUUCCUGUUUUGUGGGGACUGAGUGGGUCCCUCUUCUAGCGCUGAACGUUCUGUUCCCUUUCUCAACACAGAGCGUACAGGUCCAGCCUCCUGACCAGUGCUCAUCUAGUGCGAAAGUGGACCCAGCUGUACCCCAAGAUGUCAGUUCACCCUAAGCUGCCUUGGGGAUUCCACCAAGUGUUUAGAGAAGUAGAGACUGCCCUGAGUCACAGGCCCUAGAGAAUUUGACUCUUUCUAGGCAAGAAGAGCCUUUGGACACGUUAUAGUGUAGGUGGGUCUCGAUCCCUUCCGUCUCAGAAGCUUCUUCUCCUGUCCAUCGUGCGGUGUGUGAGAUCUGUCAUGCUCCCUCUGGCCGAGGAAGAAGCAGCCAUCUGAGGGCAGGUAAUGGGCAACCAGAGUGAACAUAACCACACAGACGUGACAAGAACACAGGUGGCCACACUUCUGGCUGAGUCUGCCUGUCAGCAGAAACUACCCAGGGCUGGGGCUGUCCGGCCUGAGACGUGACAGAACAAACAGAUGUUGGGAGAGCUGGACAGAGGGGUGCAAGCAAAGAGGCCAUCAGAAUCACCAGAGCAAUGAAACAACCAAUUCACAAAAGCCCCCCACGCUGGAUUAAAGAAUUCACUUUGUUUAGUAGCUAAUUGCCAAACCCUAUGUUGGUCCCGGGAACUGCUAGACAUUGGUGACAUUAUGUGGAGUAGGAAAGCCAAGCUCCUUUCCUCAAUGGCAUCUGAAUCCUGGUAGGGAGAGUUGGAGCCAGGUGAUACCUGCUCUGAGAAAUAGAUUUUCUGUUUUAGUGUCCUGUUGGUAGACUAAAAUCUACCAAUUGUACCAUGGAGAUUGGCAAAUGCUAUCAAGCACCCUACCAUUAUCUUGCAUCCAGAGACUGGUCAUUAAUUACUUAUGAGCUUCUUAUUUGUAAGUUUCUUCAUGACCGUGUGAAGACAAAACCAUGGUGACCUAGCAUACUAUAUGGCAAGACACUGAGGUAGACUUUAUGGUGACGCUCUGGGCUUUUCAAGUCUUCUGGAAACUUUUUUAAACACCCUUGGCGUUUUCUUAAUCUUCCUUCCUUCCCAUACAGGUCUCCACCCUCCAUUCUGUGGCCACAGCUAAGAGUCUGAACAUUUGACCUCAAAUCAGUGGGCUAGGCUACUGUCCCCCCACCCCCAGGCCUUCCUCGGGCUCAGAGAAGAGGAACAAGAACACUUUUACAGAAUUGCCAGGAUCUGGAUCAGAGCCUCGAUCCAGCCCUCAGACUGGCAUUAUUUGAAUAGAACAGAGCCUUUCAGAGGUAGGGCAUUCUGAGAGGUCCUCUGCUGUCCGUGGGAGGGGGCUGUGCUCCUGAAGGUGAUGCUGGGGCCUCAGCCAUUUUCUUUCCUCCUUUGGUUUCCUACUACUGUGAGGUGGACAGCUGUGCCCCCAUCAUGCACCUCUGCCAUGAUAUGCUGUGUCACUAUCAUGUGUGGACUAGGAUCUCAGCAAGCCUUUCCUUGUUAGCAAGGUCUUAUACACUCCACAUAUGCUGUCACCCUCAUGGGCUUCCAGGCCACACUCUGAACAAUUGAAACAGAGACGAGAGACUGUAAGUCUAAUCCCUUGGGCAGAUGGGGGAUUCACACAACAAAGAUGCUGCCAGAAUUAUUUCUUGCGUACAUUGGUGUUGCUCCUUUUUGAACAGUUGUUACCCAGGUUCCUCUUGCCCACCUGGCAGGAUUACAACUUUUCUUAUAAGUGGACAGGGGAUUUAAUGACAGACCAGGACUUACUGGUGAUUGGAACCUGGUAAUGUCCCCUUGACCUGCCCCUUAGAGACAUAUUCUUUGAUAUAGGGAUGGGGCUAAUGACUGACUAUCUAAGUCUUCAUUGUCCCUUUUGUCAUGGGAACUGAGACCAACUGGAGGUCCAUCUCGGUGAAGAACACAUCAGCACAGACUCUCAGCAACCCUACAUUACGUUACACAAGUUUCUUUCUGACAGAUUCCAACAAGCCUGGUGAGUGCACACUGCUGCCUUCCAGUCAUGUUGGAGGCAGCGCUCUUUUAGCUAAAUUCUGGUUGGGUAACAUUAUUUCUUAAGCAAAUUAGUAAAUCCUUUAGAGCGUCAAUUUUACUACUUCAGGUUUCUCCUGUGCCAGUACAAAGGCUUUAAGAUACACUGUUUCCAGCACUUACUUCCUGGUUGUACUCACUUCCUCAAUCCGAGCUAAAAAGCUACGUCAUCCCGUCAUCCACUCAGCUUAUGUCACCACUUGCCCCACCCUGCCCCUCCCGUCCACAUCACCAACUCCUAAUCCGAGCAGUUCAGCUUUAGGUGAAAAGAGCCACACUUUCUCUCCCUCAGGCUGCUUCUUUGACCUUUGCCCUUUCCCUGUCCUAUUUCAUACCCUCUGGUUCACUUCCACGAACUGGAAUCAGUGGGUCUGUGCUCCCCCUACACCCCCCGCACCACCCCUGGGGCCAUUUGAAUGUUAAGCUAAGUCAGGUUUUAUACUUUGGUGACAGAAGCAAGGAGGUGAGAUUAUCCAGUGAUUCCCGGGAGCCAGAGGCUUGAAUUCAGAUCCAGCUCUGUACUUCCUGGCUGAGGUAUUGCUGAUACGAGUCAUUUUACUUCCCCGAGCCUCGGGGUCCUUACCGUCAAAAGCGUGGUUCUCGCUCAGCAAUUCUGUGCUGUAAAUUGCUGACGUGUAUAACCCACGGAGUGGGAGCCAAGGCCUGAUAUAGUAAUUAGCCAAGCCAGUUCAUGCGGAACCUAGAGAAGCAAAGCCUCGACUUUAGGCUUCACCCUUCAGGCACCGGGAAGUCAAAGAAGGCUUUUUACCUCAGCAUCAUCAGAUGGUAGAAUUGAGGUGGAAGAGUUGCUCAAGAGACAAGCUGGGCUGGCCGCAGCAGCCAUCUUCCAGUAACUCACCAAAAUGACGAACACAAAGGGAAAGAGGAGAGACACUCAGUGUAUGUUCUCUAGGCCUUUUAGGAAACAUGGAGUUGUUCCUUUGGUCACAUACAUGCGACUCUACAAGAAGGGUGAUAUUGUAGACAUCAAGGGAAUGGACACCAUUCAAAAAGGAAUGCCCCAUGAGUGUUACCAUGGCAAAACCGGAAGAGUCUACAAUGUCACCCAGCAUGCAGUGGGCAUCAUGGUGAACAAGCAUGUCAAGGAAGGGCAAGAUGCUGGCCAAGAGGACCAAUGUGGGGACUGAGCACAUCAAGCACUCGAAGAGCAGAGACAGCUUCCUGAAGUGGGUAAAGGAGAAUGGUCAGAAGAAAAAGGAAGCCAAAGAGAAGGGUACCUGGGUUCUGCUGAAGCGCCAGCCUGCGCUGCCCAGAGGAGCCCCCUUUGUGAGGACUAACGGAAAGGAGCCAGAGCUGCUGAGGCCCAUGCCAUACGGAUUCACGGCUAAUGGACAAAAAGAAAUAAAGGACCCGACUGAAAAAGGAAGAGACAGAGACAGAGAGAGAGAG